CUGUGAGGUGCCUGCGGCAAACAAGUCGUUAAAGGGAAGUCGCCAUCGCGAUAAACGGCGGCUGGCGGCCGAACCUCCGGCCGCGAGACGCCUAAGGAGCGCCGCUGCCUCCGUUUCCAGAGGCAUUUCAAGCACCGGCGCGCCCACGUGACGUCUCUUAAUUACUUCUUUUUUAUUUUGAUCAGGCUACUCUGCCGUCUGCCGAGCUCUGAGGCCCGCAGAGGGCGUAGCCGCGCGGAGGCUGCCGGGAGUUGUAGUUCCGGGCUGGCUAGCGCCGGUCUCCGGCCGCCAUUUUCCGUCGCCCUCAGGGCUCCAUGAGGGGCAGCGGGGCCCGGCUUCACUUGAGCUCGCGGGCGCACCCGGGAUGUGUCAGCGAACAUUUACAUACAUCGUGGGAGCGGGGGGCGCUCAGGGAGCACAGCCCAGGUAGCGUGUGGGACAAAAGCGAGGAGCCUCCCCGGCACCGGAGCGGUGAAGAGUACAGCGGUUGUUAACAAAACACGAGGCGUUCUGUGGUAACCCGGCCCAAACGUGCCCCUCCGCAGCGUGCACAGGCGGGAGGCUGGGCAGGAAGGGCGGCCCAGCCCGCAGGCACCGUGUGCAUCGCGGCCGUCCCAGCAGCAGCAGCUCCAGCCUCUGGCCCGGCCCUUACGGAGCCCUGCCAUGCCGUGCCUGCAGUCAGCCAGCAGCGGAGACCUCUGAAAAGUCUUUGCGCCUGUUCUUGCCCUGGUUUUUCACGCUGUGACUUCGUGCCUUCGUUAAGCCCUGUUACUUCCUGCCCUUGCGACAUUCCCAGAGAGGCGGGAGCAGCGCAGGUCCCACCCUCUCUGUUUGAACCGGUCCGGGAGCGCCUCUCCCCGCCGGGCUGGGGGUGCCUCGGGGCAUUUGCCCAUCCCAACAGCACAGCCUUGGCCACAAAGUACCUGCUGGGCAUGGCCAGGACCAGAGCAUCCAUCCAUGAAGCACUGGAAAUUCAAACACCUGCUGAUGUGGCUGCUGGAAGAGCUGACACAAUUUCCUGUUUAAUUUCCUGACUGUUUCUUACUUGGUAAAGGAAAAGCUGUAAAUUGCAAGAUUGCUUCAGAGACCUUCCUCUGACUUCAGAUGAACCGUUAACCACUUGCAGGAGAGAAUCCAGCAAACCAGCACAAAACUUGUAAAAAAAUCUCAAUUUCUUUUAUAUCUCCGGCAAUUCGCACUGAAAGGAAAGCUGGGCAAAAAAAAUAAAGGUUGG
rnacentral:lncRNA from 1 species